rnacentral:lncRNA from 1 species
AGCCUCCUCUCAGACCAGGAUUCACACCCCAGGCGCUUCUCCUCAGCUGCGGCCUCGCCAACAGGCUGACUUGGCCCUGAGCCCCCAGCGAGGGGUCUCCCCAAGAAGGGGCAAGGCUGCAGUCUCUUCUAGAAACUCAUCCCCCAAGGCCUACAGGGGAAGAGGAACCCCCAGGGGUGCAGGGCCAGCCAGGGAACUGGCUGGGAGCGUAGAAAGCCUUCCUGGCUCCCCUUGGAACAGCCCCAGGGUAACCCCCAAAACAGGAUCCAGAAGAACUGGGGAAACACAAAGCACUCAGAAGAAGAAGACCCAGGAAGGAAUUCCAGUUCGCCAGACCCGAGGAAGGAGCCCGCCCCAGACAAGCUGUCAUGGAGA